rnacentral:lncRNA from 1 species
GUUAGCCAAGAUGGCGGUAGCGAUCGCUGCAGCGAGGGUCUGGCGGCUAAACCGUGGUUUGAGCCAGGCUGCCCUCCUGCUGCUGCGGCAGCCUGGGGCUCGGGGACUGGCUAGAUCUGUGAGUACCUGGGCCCCAGGCGGUUUUCCCAAAGGGGAUUAGGGAUGUAAAGGCUAUCUUCAGAGUGUGGGGUCCCUGAAGGAUAUGAAGGAAGGGCUGUCACAAAAGGGAAAAAGAGUGGGAGACUCCUUGGAGAAGACACCGAAGGGAAGAUCUGCCACUUCCUUAGGAGACGAAAAGAACUUCCACUUCUUUAGGAGAGGAAAAAACCCGUUUGCAACUUCUUUGUGGGCCCUGAGGGAGACGACUUGAAGAGAGAGAUGGGGGUUCCUUAUUAGCUGCCACUGGUAUUCAGGGGAGGCUCCUUGGAGGAACAGGGGAAGACCGCAAGACCUUCUCCCUCAGGGUUUGGAGAAUGAAACUGACUUUGUAAGGGAGGGACUUUCUUCUGGGCAAAGAUCCCUCUUCAAGAAGAAGAAAGAAGAGAACAGGUCCCUGUCACAGGCUGCAUAGGGCCUUGUAUUUCUUUGCUCCUUUGCCACAAUUCUGAUUUUAAAAUGAAUUGUGUAAAAAAUUUGUUUGAUUCCUGUGUCUCUUGAUCGAAUAUCAAGACAGAGAAUUCGUGUGUUCUGGACACUGUACAGAGGAGACGAUUAAUAUUUGUUGAAUUAAUGAGGGGAAAAAAGGAGGGAGAGAGGUACAGACAGGGCACUUUGCCCACAUUUCUUAGAAACACUUGAGAAGGCUUUGUUUCUUGUCAAAAGGGUCACAAUCCCUUCAGGUGGAUGCUGCUAAGGGCAAGAUUACACUGCAAAAAACCUAGGUGGAAGCCUAUCUUUAGACGGGGAGAGGCAAUGGGUUGCAGAAGAGCUUUGAACUACAGUUGACAGAUAGGAGAGUAGUGGUUACAUGGGUGGAUGCAUGUCCUUGCUCUGCCGCUUUCCACUUGUGUAGCCUUGGCCAACGGACUGCACUUCUCUGGAUCUAUGGAGCUAAUUUUCCUCUCUAAAAUAUUAACAGUGGCCACCUCAUAGGGCUGUGAAAAAUCAAUAUGUAAAAUGCUAAGGACUGGACCUGGCACAUCCUAAGGGCAAUAGGAAUGUUGAUAGUGAGGGUGGAGGGAAGGGACAGAAACUAACCUUGGAGAUGGGGAGAAGAAAGGGGUGACCUUGGGAAGGCCUGGAUUGGUGAGGCCCUGGGGAAAAAAAUCUGAAAAGAUAUUGUGAGGUUGAGUCUGAUCCUCUGAUCCCCAAUCCAUAAGGAGGGGAAGAUGGAAUCUGUAGAAAGAAGCUCUGGGUAGGGGAACAAACGGGAGGAGGGUGAAGAAGAUGGGCCAGGAGUAGGACGUAGUAGGUAUCUAGGAACGGAGUCACUUGAAACAGGUAAAUACAGAAGGGCUGCAGGAGCAAGGUGUGGGUAGGGCAGUCUCUUGCCUUUGGGCUGGAGACCUUUUCACUUUUUUUUUUUUUUUUUUUUUUGAGCAGUUCAUAUCCUCCACAGCUGAUCUCAGUCCCAGGGGCCCAUUGGCUGGGCAAGUGGGGCAGGAGGUGGGCAGGACUGGGGCAGGCUAGGGAAAGGUCAUUUAUGGCUGAUUAAAUCUUUCUCUCCUGUCUCAAUCUCUUGAUUACCUUUCCUCUUGCUUCCCCUACUUCAUUUUUGGUGGGGAGUGGGGAGGGAAGAAGUCCCUACUUUUUAUUUAUAUAUAUUUAAAUUUGUAUUAUCUUAAGAGUUAUUGUUUUUUCCCCUUUAUUUCUCCCACCUGUUCUUUCUCUCUUCUUCUUUCUUUCCUCUCCUUCUCCUCUCCUCUCCUCCCCUCUCCUUUUUCUUUUCUUUUCUUUUUCCCUUUCCUUUCCUUUCCUUUUCUCUUCUCUUUUCUCUCUCUCUUUCUUUCUGUACCUCUCUUUCCUUUUUCUUUUUUUUUCUUUUUUGAGACAGAGUUUCACUCUCUCGCCUAGGCUGGAGUGCAGCAGCAUGAUCUUGACUUACUGCAAUCUCUGCCUGCCGAGUUCAAGUGAUUCUCCUGCCUCAGCCUCCCA